GGGGCCACGAAGAGUCAGACACGACUAAAUAACAACAACAAAGUCUUUCCUGGCUUUCGGGGGGGGGGGGGGAUUUGGAAAGAGGCUUAUCUGCAUUCCCUUUCAGAGCAUGAACUGUCCAGGCGGUGCUUUGCUGUGGUUUCUUGUGCAAAAUGCAUUUUGGGGUGGAUUUCUUUUGUUAAUUUUAGCAAUAUUUCCGUACCGCUUUGGUCAUGCAUAUUUUUCUUUUUUGUCAGUUUUCAAAUUGCAAAUAAUAAUAAUAAUAAUAAUAAUAAAAUUCUUACUG